ensembl:lncRNA
AUGUCAUACUUUCAAAAUUAUGGACAUGGCUGUUUGACAGAGGAGAGAGAGGUCUUCUGUUCUGCUAAACUUGUUGAGAUGCUUGAAAUGCAAAAAGGAAGCCUGGAGGGACUUGAGGGGAGCCAAACUGCUCUGCAUCACAGAGAUUUUGGAAUUCUGCAAAUAAUCCAGGAGGAAGAAAUUGAAAAGAAAAGAGGGGAAGAGGAACUAGAAGAAAUGAUCUCAGAUGUUUGCUAUCAUGUGGUGUAAGGCAUAAGAGUGUAGAAUGUUCAAUAUGAAAUUGCCUUGUCCGUGUAUCCCUCCACUCUUCCUACUCUACAUCUUCUGAUUCCCUGUGUGUGUGUGCGUGUGUGUGCGUGUGUGUGUGUGUCUUCUCACAUGCCUGGGUGUGCUUAUAGCAAUUCAGCCGGAAGUGGAUUGCCAGAGGCUGCUAACACAAAACAGUGGUGAGAUGACUCAUAAUUGAAAUAACAAUUCCACACAGGCAAGAAUUUGGAAGAAGGGGUGACUGCUAGAAAAUAAGCUUCUAAAACACACAGAAAUUUUAGGAGGAGCUUUGAACUUCCACAGGCUAUGAAAUGGACUUUUUUGGGGGGAGGGAAUUCACUUUUCAGCCUCCAGAAGCAGAGUCUAGUUUAAAGACCAGCACACUUUCACACUUUUGACAUCCCUCAUGUCUUAGCCCUUGAAGGCUGAUAAAAUCCCACAGACGAGUCCUUAUGCACAGCAAAUGUUUCUCAGGGUUCUGGAAACCGGAGGUGCAGGAUCAGAUCAGGGCUUCAUAGCAGGCAUCUCCUUGCUGUGUCCUCAUGGGGUGGAAGGACCCAGGGAGCUCUGUUAGGGGAAGCACACUGAUUGAAACCAUCCACCCUGGCCAGGCACCAUAGUAACCAUUUGCAUGAGUUGUUUUAUGACAGGAGAUCUGAUAAGGAAUACAGAACUAAUAAGCCACCACCAACCGGAAGAGUUCGGGAAAGAUCAAAAGGAGACACCGCGUGUCCGUCCACUUCCCAGAACCCUCACUAGCAUCCAUCUUGGCUGAGCAAUGCAUGCGCCACCAGGAAAGACUUUGAAUUAGAAUGAUUGGCCAAAGACCACCCGUAAUCCCAUCACCAUAAAACCGAGACUGUGAGCCAUGCGGCAGAGCAUUUCUCCUGGGUUCCCUUACCCUACUGCUCUCCACCCGGUGCCCUUUCCCAAUAAAAUCUCUUGCUUUGUCAGCACAUGUGUCUCCUAGGACAAUUCAUUUCCGAGUGUUAGACAAGAGCCCAGUUUUGGGCCCUGGAAGGGGUCCCCCUUCCUGCAACAGCUCUGAGGAGGUCUCCUGAUGAGGUCACUAAUUCCAUUCCUGAGGCUAAACCUCAUGACCCAUCACCUCCCUAGGGCUCGAUCCCUUAAUCCCAUCACAUUAAGGUGUAGGAUUUCAACAUGGGGACUUGGGAGGGACAGGAAUGAUCAGACUAUACUAUUCUCCUUGGUUCAGGGGGAGACUAUAAAAUUCUUGGUUCAAGAGGAUCUUUAACUCAUCUUUCAAGGCUUAUAUGAGUAACAGCUUAUUGUGUUGGUCUAGUUUGAUGAAAUUUUGACCAUUCAGUAGACUAAAUUAACUGAGAAAAUUUAAUCUGUGCGUACUGAGC